rnacentral:rRNA from 1 species
UACGAAGGGGGCUAGCGUUGCUCGGAAUCACUGGGCGUAAAGCGCACGUAGGCGGCUUUCUAAGUCAGGGGUGAAAUCCUGGAGCUCAACUCCAGAACUGCCUUUGAUACUGGAGAGCUUGAGUCCGGAAGAGGUGAGUGGAACUCCGAGUGUAGAGGUGAAAUUCGUAGAUAUUCGGAAGAACACCAGUGGCGAAGGCGGCUCACUGGUCCGGUACUGACGCUGAUGCGCGAAAGCGUGGGGAGCAAACGGG